AGAAAAACGGACAAUUCAGAGCUUCUUUCUACGGCUAGCUCCGAUUUGCCUGUUGCGGGGCAGAGUUCAUGGCUUUCCUGGGAAGACGCUGACCGGCAUCCUCAGAGGGGAGGCCAGGAGCACCAGCAGCUUGCCUCUGCCGCGGUGCCAAAUGCCCUCAGCAUUACUGCAGAUUGAAGAGAUCCUCGGUGUAUUACCCUUGUGCAGUUAGAAGGCGGUUUGGAAUUGGAUCACUCACUGUUCCUGAUCUGAUUCACAGGUAGACCCA
rnacentral:lncRNA from 1 species